GCGCUGCGUUACUCUGCCUCGCCUCUCCUUCACUGAACACAACUGCCCCUCCCCCAUCGCUUCACCUGCAGGCAACGACAAGAUGGACACGGCAGCUAUCAAAGAGGAGCUGGUCGGUAAAAAGAAAACAUUUGGAGAUCACUAUUUUAGUGCUGCAGCGUUACUGUCAUUAAAAUGACGUUAACGCCAUAACUGUAUUAACGCGGCAAAUCUCCGUUAACGAGUUACCGCGGAUCACCCCGUGUGUCGGGCUGCACGGCAUCAACGCGUUAGCGUUGCGGUUAGUGUUAGCGGUUAGCUCCUUAACGUGUUGACGCCGUGCAGCUAGCACUACUAGUAUUUGCACCAUUUACAACACCGCCAUAAAGUGCAAAAUGAAGAGUGUGUGAAACUGCGUGCUGUAUCCCAGACCGCAUUUUAUAUUAAGAUUUAAAAAUCUAGUUGGUAUUGGUAUGGCGAAUAACCUUCAGUAAUAGUAAUAAAUCACACAGCAACAGUACAUUCAUGUAGUUGUAACAAGUAUAUAUUAAGUAAUCCAAAGUAUUCAGAAUACGUUACACUCAUUGAGUAAUGUAACAGGAUACGUUACAAAAUUUUGGCGCAUGUAUUCUGUAAUCUGUAGUGGAAUACAUUUUAAAAGUAACCUUCCCAACACUGGACACAACCGUCACCUCUGUAAUGUCCAGGAAAGCUGUCCCAUUAAAAAAACAACAACAAAGAAAAAAAAAACAGCUUGUGUGCAUAGUAGCAGUUCCUUUAUUUUGGUGGUUUUGGCACCACUGUAACAUGCCUGUGUCACAAAUGCAACUUGACAUUCACCCACUUGCUCAGAGUCUGUUGUUACAGGGAAGUGGAAGUUUACUUACAGUGCAUUUACGCAAUUAUGUUCUGUCCCGACAGCUUUUUAACAUGACAGCAUGAUUAGCACGAUCUCAGUUGCUGUGCCCCCUGAACCCACUGCAGCUUCUCAUUGGUCACCCCACCCGACAGUUUACCACUUGGACUUUACAUGAUAUAUUAGCUAGGUCUGUAAUGUAUUCAUUUCUGAGUGUUAUUUCUCUCUAUUUGCUCUUUUCAUGGUUGAGCUUCAUGUUCAUGCAGGUCUUGAACACCAAGAACAUCCAAGCUCUGCAUACUUGUGUCUGUGUUCACAGAUUUCUUUCAUACUCUGAAUCUUUAUAUAACAUUACAAAUAUAGAUAAUGGAGUCAUCAACAAAGUCUUUCACAGAGUAGAAAACCUUUUUUAAAAAACAAACAAACAAAUAAAAUAUCUAAUUUUGGUUAAUGUUACUGUGAGAGACUGGUGCUCUGUCCAGGGUGUACACCUCCUAUAAUCCUAUGACAGGUGUUAUGGACUCUAGCACACCCUGAGUUGGAUAAGUAGAGGAAAACAGAUGGAUGUGUCAUUAAUUUUGACAGCUUUUCCAGAUUUUUGCUGCCCCUCUCCCAACAUUUUUGUCAUGUACUGUGUGUGGAAGGCAGGAUCGGACCCAGAAAGGAUUUAAACAUAAAAAAAACCUCAGCUUUAUUGCUGGCACACUGGAAAACCACAGAACUAUGAACAGAACCCAGCCGGCUAUGUUAGGGAUCUGGGUCUGAAGGACCCAGGAUCCAAGAGCAGUUGGUGAUUUAUAUUAUAAUAUAUCAUAUUAUAUGUGUUUUUGCUGCACUGUGCUGCUGUUCCUGUUGUCCAUGCUUGUGUAUAUAGGCAGGUGUGUGUGUGGGUGCGGCUGUGACAGGCACCUUCAGGCGUGGUGGGUGUGCCCCUGCCAGGUGACUGGCCACACCUGAAGAUCAUCAGACACACCUGGAGCUGAUCAAGCCUCGUCGGGGAGCUACUUAACAGUGUGGCUGAGCGCUCCUCGACGCUGGAUCGUUGCGUGAGACUUCCCGAGUACGGAAGCGCAAGGGCAUAGGAAGACACAGACACUAAAUACAAGAGGGAAACACGGCAAAGAGGAAACACCUGGGAAACACGGCUGGCGCUAAUUACACUGACAAAACAUGGAAGAGCAAAACAGAACAUGACCCACACCGACGAGAGACUAUCAAAGUAAAACAGGAAGAACACAGAGGACUAGAGGAACAGACAGAUGUACAUGAAGACAAGGCUGACCUAAAAAGGGGAGGAAUCACAGACUAUAAAUACAGAAUAAAUUCAGGAGUAUAAUCAUACUGGGCUAAGAAAUAGAAAAAACAGAGAGAACCUGAUAAACAAACAAGACUCGAAGAACCAAAAGACAAGAGACUCGUAUUACUGGGUCAAAAUGACCCAGAACUGAAAAUUUUUUAAAAUCUGUUACUGUGUCACAUUUAACCUCCCAGGACGCGGCGUCCACAUAUGUGCACAUCACAUUUUGGAUUGUUUAGACCAAAAUACUAAAUUUUGCUCUACAAGGGCCUGAUAUCCACUUACGAGGACGUUAUAUUGUCACUGUUCUAUUGAAAUUUAAACCGAAUGUCCUCAUAUGUGGAUCUCAUUUUUCUCAGAAACAAAAAUUAGGUUAAAAAGAAUCAGGUAAUUCUUUGUUUUUACAUUCAUCAGGUCCCAAUCAGCCCAAAUAGCAAGGAGAAAUUAAAAAUGCAUCCCAUGAAAGAGUUCAGGUCUUAGGAGGUUAAAUUAAAGACUUUCAAAAAUCAAUUUUCUCACAGUCAAUAUUUGAUAUGUUGUCUUUUUCGUAGUUUCAGUUCUGUUUGGGAUUUAACUGUAAAUCACUCCAUUCUGCUUCUUUUCAGACUUUAAUCAUCAUGUCAGCUUUUUUCUUUUGGAAAUGGGACUGUGUUUAAAAUUUGUGUGUUCAGAUCUGCAUAAACAACUAAAUAGCUCAAAUAUAGUAACUAAAACUGAUAAAGAAUACAGACAGGGAGGAUUCAAAUAAAUAUGAAAUGUUGGACUGAGUUUUUUUUUUUUUUACAGGUUUUCACAGAAGCUUUGACUUGAGGCUUAUCUACCUUAAAUCCUA
ensembl:lncRNA